rnacentral:rRNA from 1 species
GGUCUCAGUUCAGAUUGCAGGCUGCAACCCGCCUGCAUGAAGUCGGAAUUGCUAGUAAUCGCGGAUCAGCAUGCCGCGGUGAAUACGUUCCCGGGCCCUGUACACACCGCCCGUCACACCAUGGGAGCCGGUAAUACCCGAAGUCAGUAGUCCAACCUCGUGAGGACGCUGCCGAAGGUAGGAUUGGCGACUGGGGUGAAGUCGUAACAAGGUACC